GUAGUUCUGUGGCCUGGGGGCUCUGCCCUCCUGCUGUGGUUCUAUGUCUUUACACAUACACUCUGUAAUGAAGUCUCAUGGAAUGUAUGCCGCGUUUAACGCAAUACAAUACAACUUUCAGCAACGGAUCUCUUGGCUCUCGCAUCGAUGAAGAACGCAGCGAAAUGCGAUAAGUAAUGUGAAUUGCAGAAUUCAGUGAAUCAUCGAAUCUUUGAACGCACCUUGCGCCCUUUGGCCAUUCCGAAGGGCAUGCCUGUUUGAGUAUCAUGAACACCUCAACUCUCAUGGCUCGCCAUGAUGAGCUUGGAUUUUGGGGGUCUUGCUGGCCUGUGGUCGGCUCCUCUCAAAUGGAUCAGCUUGCCAGUGUUUGGUGGCAUCACAGGUGUGAUAACUAUCUGCGCUUGUGGUUUUC
rnacentral:rRNA from 1 species